rnacentral:rRNA from 1 species
UACGAAGGGGGCUAGCGUUGUUCGGAAUUACUGGGCGUAAAGCGCGCGCAGGCGGUCCUUUAAGUCAGGGGUGAAAGCCCAGAGCUCAACUCUGGAACUGCCUUUGAAACUAGAGGACUUGGGUACGGGAGAGGUGAGUGGAAUUCCGAGUGUAGAUGUGAAAUUCGUAGAUAUUCGGAAGAACACCAGUGGCGAAGGCGGCUCACUGGCCCGUUACCGACGCUCAGGCGCGACAGCGUGGGGAGCAAACAGG